AUGUGAUCCGGAGGAAAAGCCUGAGCUACCGCUUAGGGCGGCGCAUUCUUUGGGAGUUAACGAGGCAGAUUAGAUUCGCCUUGUAUCGAAUACAGAGAACGGCGAGGAGGCACUCUGUUCUCCGCGAAAGGACUCCCAGAAUUCUCAGCAGUGACAAUGCUGUUUGGGGAGUUCAGGAAAUUGGAUUUUGCACAUUUGGAAAUUAGCAAGAUUAAGAAACAGUUCUUAAGCAAGAAGAAGAAUCAAGGGAAUAACAUUCUCUCAUAAUCUCCUUUGUCUCUGCUUCACUGAGCUACAGAAAUUUACAAUUUGUGAUAUAGCAGUCCAGUUUAAAGCACUUCUGUGUUCAGGAUUUAUUUUUUCUAGAAACUUUGAAAGAUAUCGGAUCUACAGUAACAUUGAACACAAAGCUUCAGUUUAAUGUGCACAUCUUAUAUAAGGAAGAGAUGGAGGAAUAUAUAGAAAUAUCUCCAGUCAAGACCUUCUCCUUGCUAAUAGUAGCCUAUAGGGAAAAUAGGUAUUCCUGUUAUCCUUGAAUCUAGCAUCGGGAUAUGCUAAAAUGUUUCCAGGAAUGAAAAAGACUUUGGACAAGAAAAAGUAAAAACAGUCUAGAUCCAUGAUGGCAACCUAUGGUACACGUGCCAGAGAUGGCACACAGACCCCUCUCUGCUGGCACAUGCACCACCCAGCUCAGCUCUCUGGAGUUUCUUUCGUGACCUUCUGUUUCCCUGCAAACGACGAAACAGUUCACGAAAGAAAAGAUCUUACCUCUUGCCAUGCUGCUAGUAUUGGGAUGUCCUGUCUCCCACUGGCCAGCUGGACUUCAGGUCUCUGCUGCGCAUGUCCAUGCAUGCCUGGGCGUGCAUGUCUACACAGGUGCACACACAACUUUCAGUUUAGGCAUGUGCAUGGUUUGGGCACCCGGUAUCUAAAAGGUUUGCCAUCACUGGUCUAGAUCUAAUAAAUAAUGCAAGCUGUUCAAAUACUAAAAUAAUAUUUUCCUUAUUGAAAUAAAAGUUUAAGUCAAUCACCUGUCUAUCUAAAGAAAAAGAAGGAAUAGGCGUAAAGAUUAAAAACAGUUUACAUGAGAAUGCUCAGAAAAGCAUAGAUUAGAAGUAGGUAGUUUGAAAUAUAAUCUUGAUAAUCAAUUGUACUAUAUAUUUCAAACAUAAUCUUGCUACAUACAUUAAACAAAUUACUUUUGAAGCCAUAUUUAGAAGUUUUGCCCGAAGCAGCUUAUAUCUUAUUUUAUUUUAUUUAUUUAUCCAACUUCAUUAUUGUAACUUAAUCUCACUUUUCUACUCAAAAGCUACUAGGUGUCCUUUGCAAUUUAUUCCAUUUUAUCCAAUAUUCUGUAGCACAGGGUUUUUACCAAAGAGUCGUUUUAAUUAAGCACAAAUCAGACUUCUGUUUAUUAAAAAAAUACUUUACAGGGGAAAAAUUCUAUGCAUUCCAUUGUACUUUUUUAAAAACAAAUAGCUUUGACAGUGAUACGCUUGUACAGUCACCUACCGAAAGAAAUGCACUGUGUCAAAGGAUUAUUCACAGAGAGGGAUAAAAGUUUCCCAUCAGUUACACUAUUAUAAAAACUUCUUUAAAAACACUUGCUAAAAUGUCAAUAAAUAUACUAAGGCCACACAAAGCAAACAAAAACAAAAAGAAAAAACAGACUUCCAGGCAAUUGUACAUAUCCUUUAUAUGCAAAGACCUUAGAUUAUUAAAACCACAGAAAAAUAUCUUAGCUGCCAAUCUAAACUGAAUUUAAUCACAAAACACUACACAAAUCUAUUUUAUACAACAUGAAAAGAUAGGUAUUUGCUUAGACAGAAUUGAAAGUGCUAGAUUAAGAGAAGCCCCUUAUCAACUACAUGUGCUAUUGGGUCCUAAAAUAUUAUGUAUAUCAAUGGAAGGCCAUAACAUUAUUGGAAAUGUGUUUAUUGGACCAACAUAUAGUUUAUCCACAUUACAAAACUUUAGGAGCUGAAGGAUAAAUAUCCUUAUUCAUAGCAACCUUCAAACACAACUAAUAUGGCUAUAAAUAGCAUUUGUAAGGAAAUAAAGAGUGCUAUCCCACCAACAGUAAACACAUUUAGAGUUCCACUGAUUCCAAUGGAGAAUUAAGCAUCUGCUUAUCUCCCAUUCAAAUAAAUGGAACUUUUAGGUGCUUAACUUUGGCUGGAUUGUGCCACAAGUGAAGAUAAUUCACCACCCAGAAUAAAUUCCAAGCAUAUGAAUGGCAGCAUGAGAAAAAAAAAGUUAUAUGCAUCUUGGGGCUCUGCCUAUAAACUUUCUUGUCUCUGAGCAAAUGUUAUGCCCUCAAAAUAGGAAAACAGCUAACGAGCCCUUUUAUUAUAUGGUAAAAAUGUUGUACUGGAAGUAUUUCUAAUUUCACAUGACAACUCCAUAUGUUCCAUCUUCAUGGAAGAGAACAUAUCCAUUGUAUACACAUUACUUCAUGUUCAGAAAUAUGUGAAGGAGGAUGUGAAAUAUUUAGUUCACUUAAAUGUUAAUUUUGCUUUUAUGAUUUGCUAAAUGAAUCAGUAGCCCAAUACAACCUUUCUUGAUACAUAUUAUUUUCAUUGGUAUUUAAACAGAAAUAGAUUUUAGUAAAAGAAAAAAAAAUUUCCCAGCUUUCAACUUAGAGCUGCUCAGGAUCUUUAAAUAAGAACCUUUGUGGAUCUGCUAAUGGCAUUUAAAAGGCAGAAUAUAAUGAAUGCUUAACUAGUAUUAAAACCAUUAUAUAGAUUAGAAAAUGUAUUCCCAAAUUGUCCACUACUAAUAAAUAAAUGUAAAGAUUUUUCUGCCUUUAAUCUUCAUUUGAUUUGUAAUUAUAUAAUGUCCACAUAUUUUGCAAUUUAUAAAAUAAGAUUUCUUGUCAUGUUCAAGUGAAAUCUCUUUGCAAAGCAUUAAAGUAUCAAUUACUCUGGCAAGAUCAUUUUUUGAAUUCAUCACAUCAGCACAAAUCACUCCCAACAUCUUCCUGAGACAUUAAUUUCCAUCUCUUUUCUACUUCAAGAGCAAAUAUUAUGUUCUCAAACAAAAUCAUUAAGAUAAACCAUUCUGUCACUCACUUUGUCAGGUCCAUUUUGAUUAUUUUUCACUCAAGUGUUUGUAUUGGUCUUUCUACUCUAGAAUAUACAUGGAUUGGUACAUCAGUUAUAGUGCUUUUGAUUAACUAUUCCUAUAAGAAGAAUCUAAACCACUGAGCCAGAGUGCGAUGCAUGCAUUCAGGCUUUCUGACUGAGCCUUCUUCCUACUCCUGGAAAAGCUUAAAUUCUGAAUCUCAGGAGUUUCUAGGAAAAACAGUCUAGCAGUAUGAGGUGAGCUACAGGCAUAAAGAGAAAUAAGCAGAGUCCUGGCAGAUACACCAAAAUUCAUGCUCAGACUUCUUUGGUAUUUGCUAGGGAAUGCAGUAAUAGUGACAAUUCAUACUUACUAUUGUAAAGAUGUGGCCAAAGUAAUUGCAGUAAAGAUGAUAUUAUUAAAUUAAAAUAGGUGACUGAAAAUAAAUUUGAUGGUUGAAAUGUAAGUCGGUGAAUACAUAAUACCAUAAAAUUUGACACAAAACUUUUGAGUUGGAAAAAUGCGAGAUGCUGCUUCAGAAUCAUUCAUUUAAUCUUCUUAAUCUUUCAUGAAUGACAAAAGUCAUGAAUGCUCAUUUCACAUACCUUUAGUAGGUUGUUUCUUAAUUAAAAAAGGCUUGUAAGCCUAUUGCUGUAAUGUGAUGGACACAAAAAACCCUUUAAGGUUAUUGAACUGGAUCCAGAACUGUGCACAAUAGAGUUCACAUUGGG